GUCUCUUCGGGGAUGAUUAAACCGGCGCACGGGUGAGUAACACGUGAGUGACCUGCCUUUUAGACUGGAACAACUUACCGAAAGGUGAGCUAAUGCCGGAUGAGUUAUAUAAGUGCAUGUUUAUAUAGGAAAAGUUGGGGAGACCUGACGCUGAAAGAUGGACUCGCGUCCCAUUAGCUAGUUGGUAGGGUAAUGGCCUACCAAGGCGACGAUGGGUAGCCGGCCUGAGAGGGUGGCCGGCCACACUGGGACUGAGACACGGCCCAGACUCCUACGGGAGGCAGCAGUGGGGAAUUUUGCGCAAUGCUCGUAAGAGUGACGCAGCGACGCCGCGUGAAUGACGAAGGCCUUCGGGUCGUAAAGUUCUUUCGACAGGGAAGAAAAUGCCUAUAAGUAACUGUGUAUGUAUUGACGGUACCUGUAUAAGCAGCCCCGGCUAACUCCGUGCCAGCAGCCGCGGUAAUACGGAGGGGGCGAGCGUUGUUCGGAGUGACUGGGCGUAAAGAGCACGUAGGCGGUGUUGUAAGUCAUUAGUCAAAGACUAGAGCUCAACUUUAGUAAGGCUAGUGAUACUAUAAUACUAGAGUAUCAGAGAGGAUUGCAGAAUUCCUGGUGUAGCGGUGAAAUGCGUAGAUAUCAGGAGGAAUACCGUUAGCGAAGGCGGCAAUCUGGCUGGAAACUGACGCUGAGGUGCGAAAGCGUGGGUAG
rnacentral:rRNA from 1 species